rnacentral:rRNA from 1 species
UACGUAGGGUGCAAGCGUUAAUCGGAAUUACUGGGCGUAAAGCGCGCGCAGGCGUCUUGCAAGACAGAUGUGAAAUCCCCGGGCUCAACCUGGGAACUGCAUUUGUGACUGCAAGGCUGGAGUGCGGCAGAGGGGGAUGGAAUUCCGCGUGUAGCAGUGAAAUGCGUAGAUAUGCGGAGGAACACCGAUGGCGAAGGCAAUCCCCUGGGCCUGCACUGACGCUCAUGCACGAAAGCGUGGGGAGCAAACAGG